rnacentral:miRNA from 2 species
CAAAUUCGUUUCUGCAGGUAU